rnacentral:pre_miRNA from 1 species
UCCUAGCGUACGUCUUUCAUUCGGUUCAGCUAUCGGUGAAUUUCGCUCCGAGCUGCCCUAUGAAGGACUGUCGCUAUUACG